rnacentral:rRNA from 1 species
UACGGGGGGCGCAAGCGUUGUUCGGAUUUACUGGGCGUAAAGGGCGCGUAGGCGGUCAGCACAAGUCAGUUGUGAAAUCUCCGGGCUUAACCCGGAAAGGUCAACUGAUACUGUGCGACUAGAGUGCGGAAGGGGCAACUGGAAUUCUCGGUGUAGCGGUGAAAUGCGUAGAUAUCGAGAGGAACACCUGCGGCGAAGGCGGGUUGCUGGGCCGACACUGACGCUGAGGCGCGAAAGCCAGGGGAGCGAACGGG